CCUACGGGUGGCAGCAGUCGAGAAUCAUUCACAAUGGGGGAAACCCUGAUCCAGCGACGCCGCGUGAGUGAAGAAGUAUUUCGGUAUGUAAAGCUCUAUCAGCAGGGAAGAAAGAAAUGACGGUACCUGACUAAGAAGCCCCGGCUAACUACGUGCCAGCAGCCGCGGUAAUACGUAGGGGGCAAGCGUUAUCCGGAUUUACUGGGUGUAAAGGGAGCGUAGACGGUUACGCAAGUCUGGAGUGAAAGGCGGGGGCCCAACCCCCGGACUGCUUUGGAAACUGUAUAACUGGAGUGCAGGAGAGGUAAGUGGAAUUCCUAGGGUAGCGGUGAAAUGCGUAGAUAUUAGGAGGAACACCAGUGGCGAAGGCGGCUUACUGGACUGUAACUGACGUUGAGGCUCGAAAGCGUGGGGAGCAAACAGGAUUAGAUACCCUAGUAGUC
rnacentral:rRNA from 1 species